AUACGUAGGGAGCGAGCGUUGUCCGGAAUUACUGGGCGUAAAGGGCGCGUAGGCGGCGCUUCAAGUCGUCAGUCAAAUGUGAGGGCUUAACCCUUUUUCGCAGACGAAACUGGAGAGCUUGAGAAGCAGAGAGGCAAACAGAAUUCCUGGUGUAGCGGUGAAAUGCGUAGAUAUCAGGAAGAAUACCAGUGGCGAAGGCGGUUUGCUGGCUGCAUACUGACGCUGAAGCGCGAAAGCCAGGGGAGCAAACGGGAUUAGAUACCCCGGUAGUCCUGGCAGUAAACGAUGUAUGCUGGGUGUGAGACUAGCGAUAGUUUCGUGCCGAAGUUAACGCGAUAAGCAUACCGCCUGGGGAGUACGGUCGCAAGAUUGAAACUCAAAGGAAUUGACGGGG
rnacentral:rRNA from 1 species